AUUGAACGCUGGCGGCAUGCCUUACACAUGCAAGUCGAACGGCAGCACGGGUGCUUGCACCUGGUGGCGAGUGGCGAACGGGUGAGUAAUACAUCGGAACAUGUCCUGUAGUGGGGGAUAGCCCGGCGAAAGCCGGAUUAAUACCGCAUACGAUCUACGGAUGAAAGCGGGGGCCCUUCGGGCCUCGCGCUAUAGGGUUGGCCGAUGGCUGAUUAGCUAGUUGGUGGGGUAAAGGCCUACCAAGGCGACGAUCAGUAGCUGGUCUGAGAGGACGACCAGCCACACUGGGACUGAGACACGGCCCAGACUCCCACGGGAGGCAGCAGUGGGGAAUUUUGGACAAUGGGCGAAAGCCUGAUCCAGCAAUGCCGCGUGUGUGAAGAAGGCCUUCGGGUUGUAAAGCACUUUUGUCCGGAAAGAAAUCCUUGGCCCUAAUACGGUCGGGGGAUGACGGUACCGGAAGAAUAAGCACCGGCUAACUACGUG
rnacentral:rRNA from 1 species